AUUUGGCGGACGGGUGAGUAACGCGUGGGAACGUGCCUCUUGCUACGGAAUAGCCUCGGGAAACUGGGAGUAAUACCGUAUGUGCCCUACGGGGGAAAGAUUUAUCGGCAAGAGAUCGGCCCGCGUUGGAUUAGGUAGUUGGUGGGGUAAUGGCCUACCAAGCCGACGAUCCAUAGCUGGUUCGAGAGGAUGAUCAGCCACACUGGGACUGAGACACGGCCCAGACUCCUACGGGAGGCAGCAGUGGGGAAUCUUAGACAAUGGGCGCAAGCCUGAUCUAGCCAUGCCGCGUGAGCGAUGAAGGCCUUAGGGUUGUAAAGCUCUUUCAGUGGGGAAGAUAAUGACUGUACCCACAGAAGAAGCCCCGGCUAACUCCGUGCCAGCAGCCGCGGUAAUAAU
rnacentral:rRNA from 1 species